rnacentral:tmRNA from 1 species
GGGGCCGUUUUUGGUUUCGACUCCGUGAAUGUCACCAGGGGAAGCGUGCCGGUGCAGGCUAGAGACCACCGUAAGCGUCGUAGCAACCCGAUAAGCGCCGAGAACACUCAGCGCGACUACGCCCUCGCUGCCUAAUUAGCGAGCGCGUGUCUGUCAGCCCAGGACGUGUCCCCGUCCUGGAAUCUGGCAUCGACUAAGGGACUUGCUGUCAGGCCGUGUCAACGGGGCCUCACAGGACUCCUACCGUUGGCUGGGCUCAUCAUCUGGACGAGUUCGCCCGAUCCAGAGAGCCGAGUAGAGAUUCCGCGCGGACUGCGCACGGAGAAGCCCUGGUGAGGUCGCGGAGGACCCGGGUUCGAUUCCCGGCGGCUCCAC